rnacentral:rRNA from 1 species
GGGAUGACGUCAAGUCCUCAUGGCCCUUAUGGGUAGGGCUUCACACGUCAUACAAUGGUCGGAACAGAGGGCAGCGAAGUCGUGAGACGGAGCCAAUCCCAGAAAACCGAUCGUAGUCCGGAUUGCAGUCUGCAACUCGACUGCAUGAAGUCGGAAUCGCUAGUAAUCGCGGAUCAGCAUGCCGCGGUGAAUACGUUCCCGGGUCUUGUACACACCGCCCGUCAAACAAUGGGAGUGGUGUUUACCAGAAGUCGUUAGCCUAACCGCAAGGAGGGCGGCGACCACGGUGAGCACCGUGACUAAUGUUAAGUCGUAACAAGGUAGCCGUACCGGAAGGUGCGGCUGGAUCACCUCCUUUCAAG